CUACCAUAAGUGUUUUGAGGCUCUAAAUUGAUUCCUCCUCUCUCUCUCUGUCUCUGUCUCUGUCUCUGUCUCUGUCUCUGUCUCUCUCUCUCUCUCUCUCACACACACACACACACACACACACACACACACACACACACACCACAAACAAAACCACCCACCCCAAAAUGUGAUUUGGGGCAGGAAGAAUGGCUCAGCAAGCAAGAGGUACUUGCUGCCCAAGUGUAAUGACCUGAGUCUGAUCCCUGGAAGCCACAUGGUAGAAGGAAAGGACAUCCUCAAGUUGUCCCGUGUCCUCUGCUGAUACACACCUUCUCACUUAAGUAAAUACAUAAUACAUAAAUAAUAAUAAAUGAGUAAAUACAUAAAAUGUUUAAAAGUUUAACAUGAUGUAAUAGAUUAGAAACUACAUAAACGGGCUGGAGAGAUGGGAGGUGGUGCUGGGUCAGUGGGUAGGAGUGCUUCCUUCACUCCAGGUUCCUCAUGUCCUAGCACCCACAUCAGGUGGCUCACAGCCAAUUGUGACGUCAGCUUCAGGGGAUCUAACACCCUCUUUUGGCCUCCAUGAACACCCUUCCAUGGGUGGCAUACACAAAGACAGACACACUUGAAUAUGUACAAAUACAAUGAAAACCAACACAUUCCUGAGCAAUAUACCCCUAAUAUAGACUUCACCCGAUUAAGAAAUUUGUCCAUACUACCAUCCCUGUCAGGGUUUUCUAGAGACGCACCCAAAAUAGGGAAGAUGUUAAUUUGUUUAAUUAAACCCAUAAUUUUCCUAGGUGAUAAUGACAUAAUUAAAAAAAACAACAACAAAAAAAAAAGCCAGGUAUAGUGUCUUACACCUGUAAUCUCAGACUCAGGAGGGCUCCGCAGGACAACUGAGAUGAGUUUGGGGCCAGAGAGUGAGACACUGUUUCAAACAAACCUGGGCAGGACAGAUGGCUCAGGAGUUAAAAGCACUUGCACAGGAUUGGAGCUGUUUCCAGCACCUGGAGUUCUGUUCCCAGCACCCAUGUCAGACAGCUCAACUGCCUGGAACUCCUCUGGUCCCCACCAGGGACCCUCUCAUGAGGAUCAGAAAUCCCACUUCCUCUUCUCCUACCCAACCAUUGGCUAAUUAGCUCUUUAUUAACCAAUCAGAUAUGAGGGAAAACAAUUUUUACAACAUUAAAACAGGAAAUGCUUGAAAAUGCCAAUGCCUAGAUUGCAACCAGAUUUAUGGGCACAGUAAUCAGCAUCUGAAUACACAGUGCCCACCUCCCCCCAACACACACACACACACACACACACACACACACACACACACACUGUGGUGGUUCAAAUAUCCCUGGCCCAGGGAGUGGCACUAUUUGGAGGUGUGGCCUUGUUGCAGUUGGUGGGCCACCAUGGGCUUGGGCUUUAUGACCCUCAUCCUAGCUGCCUGGAAGCUAGUCUUCUCCUGUUUGUCUUCGGAAUAAGAUGUAGAACUCUCAGCUCUUCCUACAUCAUGCCUGCUUGGACAAAGCCAUGCUCAUGCCUUGAUAAUGGACUGAACCUCUGAACCUGUGAACCAGUCCCAGUUAAAUGUUGGCCUUAUAAGAGUUGCCUUGGGGGGCUGGGGAUUUAGCUCAGUGGUAGAGCGCUUACCUAGGAAGCGCAAG
ensembl:lncRNA